UACGUAGGGUGCGAGCGUUAAUCGGAAUUACUGGGCGUAAAGCGUGCGCAGGCGGUUUUGUAAGCCAGAUGUGAAAUCCCCGGGCUCAACCUGGGAAUGGCAUUUGGGACUGCAAGGCUGGAGUGCGGCAGAGGAGGAUGGAAUUCCGCGUGUAGCAGUGAAAUGCGUAGAUAUGCGGAGGAACACCGAUGGCGAAGGCAAUCCCCUGGGCCUGCACUGACGCUCAUGCACGAAAGCGUGGGGAGCAAACAGG
rnacentral:rRNA from 1 species